rnacentral:rRNA from 1 species
UACGGAGGGUGCGAGCGUUGUCCGGAAUCAUUGGGCGUAAAGGGCGCGUAGGUGGCCCGGUCAGUUCGUGGUGAAAGCGCGGGGCUCAACCCUGCGUCGGCCAUGAAUACUGCCGCGGCUGGAGCACUGUAGAGGCAGGCGGAAUUCCGGGUGUAGCGGUGGAAUGCGUAGAGAUCCGGAAGAACACCGGUGGCGAAGGCGGCCUGCUGGGCAGUUGCUGACACUGAGGCGCGACAGCGUGGGGAGCGAACAGG